rnacentral:lncRNA from 1 species
AUGAAAUAUUCCUCAAAGACAAGAAUUUUGAGCUUACACUUUCAUCUGUGCUGGAACCUGUGCACACACAUGCACUUUCCAUGUAACACAUCCUCACACUUGCACACGUGCACUUCUGCAUGUAUGCAUCCUCACGCACACAUGUGCACUUUCUCAUGUACACAUCCUCACCUGCACACAUGUGUACUUUCCUAUGUACACAUCCGCCCACACAUGCACAUUCCCAUGUAUACCUCCUCACGUGCCUGCACACACGUGCAUUCACAUGUGCACAUCCUCACACCUGCACACACCUGUACUUUCCCAUGCACACAUCCUCACACCUGGACACGCAUGUACUCUCCCAUGGACACAUCCUCACAUACAUGCUCACACAUGCACUCACGUGUACACAUCCUCCCACCUGCACACAUGUACUUUCCCAUGUACACAUUCUCACACCUGGACACGCAGGUACUCUCCCAUGGACACAUCCUCACAUACAUGCUCACACAUGCACUCACGUGUACACAUCCUCCCACCUGCACAUAUGUACUUUCCCAUGUACACAUCCUCACACCUGGACACGCAUGUACUCUCCCAUGGACACAUCCUCACACACCUGCUCACACAUGCAUUCACGUGUACACAUCCUCACAUACCUGCUCACACGUGCAUUCACAUGUAUACAUCCUCACACACAUGCUCACACAUAUGUACUUUCCCAUGUACACAUCCUCACACCUGGACACGCAUGUACUCUCCCAUGGACACAUCCUCACACACCUGCACACACAUGUACUUUCCCACGGACACAUCCUCACACCUACACACACAUGCAUUCACAUGUACACACCCUCACACACAUGCUCACACAUUCACAUGUGCACAUCCUCACACCUGCACACAUGUGCACUUUCCCAUGUGCACACCAUCACAUACCUGCUCACACGUGCAUUCCCAUGUACACAUCCUCACACACAUGCUCACACAUGUGUGCUUUCCCAUGGACACAUCCUCACACCAGACACGUGUACAUAUCCUCACACACAUGCUCACACAGCUGCACCCCAUAGUUUCUCAUGA